UACGUAGGGGCGUAGCGUUGUCCGGAUUUAUUGGGCGUAAAGAGCUCGUAGGUGGUUCGGUAAGUCGGAUGUGAAAUCUCCAGGCUCAACCUGGAGGGGUCAUUCGAUACUGCCGUGACUAGAGUUCGGUAGGGGAGUGUGGAAUUCCUGGUGGAGCGGUGAAAUGCGCAGAUAUCAGGAGGAACACCAAUUGCGAAGGCAGCUCGCUGGGACGUGACUGACGCUGAGACGCGAAAGCGUGGGGAGCGAACAGG
rnacentral:rRNA from 1 species